UACAGAGGUCCCAAGCGUUGUUCGGAUUCAUUGGGCGUAAAGGGUGCGUAGGUGGCGCCGUAAGUCGGGCGUGAAAUUUCGGAGCUUAACUCCGAAACUGCAUUUGAUACUGGCGUGCUUGAGGACUGGAGAGGAGACUGGAAUUCAUGGUGUAGCAGUGAAAUGCGUAGAGAUCAUGAGGAAGACCAGUGGCGAAGGCGGGUCUCUGGACAGUUCCUGACACUGAGACACGAAGGCCAGGGGAGCAAACGGG
rnacentral:rRNA from 1 species